rnacentral:tRNA from 1 species
GCCGUCGUGGUGUAGUGGUCAGCACGCUCGGCGCGUAAAAUCGAGGGUCCGUGGUUCGAAUCUCGGUGAGGGCA